rnacentral:rRNA from 1 species
CCUACGGGUGGCAGCAGUGAGGAAUAUUGGUCAAUGGGCGGGAGCCUGAACCAGCCAAGCCGCGUGAGGGAAGAAGGUACAGCGUAUCGUAAACCUCUUUUGUCAGGGAGCAAUUGAGUCCACGUGUGGGCUUAGCGAGAGUACCUGAAGAAAAAGCAUCGGCUAACUCCGUGCCAGCAGCCGCGGUAAUACGGAGGAUGCGAGCGUUAUCCGGAUUUAUUGGGUUUAAAGGGUGCGUAGGCGGAAUAUCAAGUCAGCGGUAAAAAUUCGGGGCUCAACCCCGUCGUGCCGUUGAAACUGAUGUUCUUGAGUGGGCGAGAAGUAUGCGGAAUGCGUGGUGUAGCGGUGAAAUGCAUAGAUAUCACGCAGAACUCCGAUUGCGAAGGCAGCAUACCGGCGCCCAACUGACGCUGAAGCACGAAAGCGUGGGUAUCGAACAGGAUUAGAUACCCGAGUAGUC